rnacentral:rRNA from 1 species
UACGGGGGGGGCAAGCGUUGUUCGGAAUUACUGGGCGUAAAGGGCCAGUAGGCGGCCAACUAAGUCGGAUGUGAAAUCCCCAGGCUCAACUCGGGAACUGCAUCCGAUACUGGAUGGCUUGAAUUCGGGAGAGGGAUGCAGAAUUCCAGGUGUAGCGGUGAAAUGCGUAGAUAUCUGGAGGAAUACCGGUGGCGAAGGCGGCAUCCUGGACCGACAUUGACGCUGAACGGCGAAAGCUAGGGGAGCAAACGGG